AUUGAACGCUGGCGGCAGGCCUAACACAUGCAAGUCGAGCGGAUGAAGGGAGCUUGCUCCUGGAUUCAGCGGCGGACGGGUGAGUAAUGCCUAGGAAUCUGCCUGGUAGUGGGGGAUAACGUCCGGAAACGGGCGCUAAUACCGCAUACGUCCUGAGGGAGAAAGUGGGGGAUCUUCGGACCUCACGCUAUCAGAUGAGCCUAGGUCGGAUUAGCUAGUUGGUGGGGAAAAGGCCUACCAAGGCGACGAUCCGUAACUGGUCUGAGAGGAUGAACAGUCACACUGGAACUGAGACACGGUCCAGACUCCUACGGGAGGCAGCAGUGGGGAAUAUUGGACAAUGGGCGAAAGCCUGAUCCAGCCAUGCCGCGUGUGUGAAGAAGGCCUUCGGAUUGUAAAGCACUUUAAGUUGGGAGGAAGGGCAGUAAGUUAAUACCUUGCUGUUUUGACGUUACCAACAGAAUAAGCACCGGCUAACUUCGUG
rnacentral:rRNA from 1 species